GCAACGUGUGUAUAGUAAAUGUAGUGUGUGUGUGUAGUGCAGUGUGUUUAGUGAAUGUAGUGUGUGUAGUGCAGAGUGUGUUUAGAGAAUGUAGUGUGUGUGUAGUGCAGAGUGUGUUUAGUGAAUGUAGUGUGAGUGUGUGUAGUGCAGUGUGUGUUUAGUGAAUGUAGUAUCUGUGUGUAGUGCUGAGUGUGUUUAGUGAAUGUAGUGUGUGUGUGUAGUGCAGAGUGUGUUUAGUGAAUGUAG